AGUGAACGCUGGCGGUAGGCCUAACACAUGCAAGUCGAACGGCAGCACAGUAAGAGCUUGCUCUUACGGGUGGCGAGUGGCGGACGGGUGAGGAAUACAUCGGAAUCUACUUUUUCGUGGGGGAUAACGUAGGGAAACUUACGCUAAUACCGCAUACGACCUACGGGUGAAGGCAGGGGAUCUUCGGACCUUGCGCGAUUGAAUGAGCCGAUGUCGGAUUAGCUAGUUGGCGGGGUAAAGGCCCACCAAGGCGACGAUCCGUAGCUGGUCUGAGAGGAUGAUCAGCCACACUGGAACUGAGACACGGUCCAGACUCCUACGGGAGGCAGCAGUGGGGAAUAUUGGACAAUGGGCGCAAGCCUGAUCCAGCCAUACCGCGUGGGUGAAGAAGGCCUUCGGGUUGUAAAGCCCUUUUGUUGGGAAAGAAAAGCAGCAGGUUAAUACCCCGCUAUUCUGACGGUACCCAAAGAAUAAGCACCGGCUAACUUCGUG
rnacentral:rRNA from 1 species